UGAGGAAUAUUGCACAAUGGAGGAAACUCUGAUGCAGCAACGCCGCGUGGAGGAUGACGCAUUUCGGUGUGUAAACUCCUUUUAUAUGUCAAGAAAAUGACGGUAGCAUAUGAAUAAGCACCGGCUAACUCCGUGCCAGCAGCCGCGGUAAUACGGAGGGUGCAAGCGUUACUCGGAAUCACUGGGCGUAAAGGACGCGUAGGCGGGUUGUCAAGUCAGGUGUGAAAUCCUACAGCUUAACUGUAGAACUGCACUUGAAACUGGCAACCUAGAGUAUGGGAGGGGGAGAUGGAAUUAGUGGUGUAGGGGUAAAAUCCGUAGAUAUCACUAGGAAUACCUAAAGCGAAGGCGAUCUCCUGGAACAUUACUGACGCUAAGGCGUGAAAGCGUGGGGAGCAAACAGG
rnacentral:rRNA from 1 species